GACGAACGCUGGCGGCGUGCUUAACACAUGCAAGUCGAACGGUGAACCGGGCUUCGGCCCGGGGAUCAGUGGCGAACGGGUGCGUAACACGUGGGCAACCUGCCCCAGACACUGGGAUAACCCCGGGAAACCGGGGCUAAUACCGGAUACUCCGACCGGACCGCAUGAUCCGGCCGGGAAAGCUCCGACGGUCUGGGAUGGGCCCGCGGCCUAUCAGCUCGUUGGUGGGGUCACGGCCUACCAAGGCGACGACGGGUAGCUGGUCUGAGAGGACGACCAGCCACACUGGAACUGAGAUACGGUCCAGACUCCUACGGGAGGCAGCAGUGGGGAAUCUUGCACAAUGGGCGCAAGCCUGAUGCAGCGACGCCGCGUGGGGGACGACGGCCCUCGGGUUGUAAACCCCUUUCGGCAGGGAAGAAGCGCAAGUGACGGUACCUGCAGAAGAAGUCCCGGCUAACUACGUGCCAGCAGCCGCCGUAAAAC
rnacentral:rRNA from 1 species